UAUACGACCGUACCGCAAACCGACACUGGUGCGCGAGAUGAGUAUUCUAAGGCGCUUGAGAGAACUCAGGAGAAGGAACUCGGCAAAUUGACACCGUAACUUCGGAAGAAGGUGUGCCCUAUUAGUGUGUAGUGAACAACGAAGCAUGAAUGGGUUGCAAAAAAUCGGUGGCUGCGACUGUUUAUUAAAAACACAGCACUCUGCAAACACGGAAGUGGACGUAUAGGGUGUGACGCCUGCCCGGUGCUGGAAGAUUAAAUGAUGGGGUGCAAGCUCUUGAUUGAAGUCCCAGUAAACGGCGCCGUAACGAUAACGGUCCUAAGGUAGCGAAAUUCCUUGUCGGGUAAGUUCCGACCUGCACGAAUGGCGUAACGAUGACCACACUGUCUCCUCCUGAGACUCAGCGAAGUUGAAAUGUUUGUGAUGAUGCAAUCUCCCCGCGGAAAGACGGAAAGACCCCAUGAACCUUUACUGUAGCUUUGUAUUGGACUUUGAACAGAUCUGUGUAGGAUAGGUGGGAGGCUUUGAAGCAGGGUCGCUAGAUCUUGUGGAGCCAACGUUGAAAUACCACCCUGGUGUGUUUGAGGUUCUAACCUAGGUCCAUUAUCUGGAUCGGGGACAGUGCAUGGUAGGCAGUUUGACUGGGGCGGUCUCCUCCCAAAGCGUAACGGAGGAGUUCGAAGGUACGCUAGUUACGGUCGGACAUCGUGACGAUAGUGCAAUGGCAUAAGCGUGCUUAACUGCGAGACUGACAAGUCGAGCAGAUGCGAAAGCAGGACAUAGUGAUCCGGUGGUUCUGUAUGGAAGGGCCAUCGCUCAACGGAUAAAAGGUACUCUGGGGAUAACAGGCUGAUACCGCCCAAGAGUUCAUAUCGACGGCGGUGUUUGGCACCUCGAUGUCGGCUCAUCUCAUCCUGGGGCUGUAGCCGGUCCCAAGGGUAUGGCUGUUCGCCAUUUAAAGAGGUACGUGAGCUGGGUUUAAAACGUCGUGAGACAGUUUGGUCCCUAUCUUCCGUGGGCGCUGCAGAUUUGAGGAAGCCUGCUCCUAGUACGAGAGGACCGGAGUGGACACACCUCUGGUGUAUCGGUUGUCACGCCAGUGGCAUUGCCGAGUAGCUAAGUGUGGAAGAGAUAACCGCUGAAAGCAUCUAAGCGGGAAACUCGUUUCAAGAUGAGAUCUGCCGGGGCCUUGAGCCCCCUAAAGAGUCGUUCAAGACCAGGACGUUGAUAGGUCAGGUGUGGAAGC
rnacentral:rRNA from 1 species